rnacentral:rRNA from 1 species
CGGACGGGUGAGUAACGCGUGGAUAACCUGCCUCAUACGGGGGAUAACAGUUAGAAAUGACUGCUAAUACCGCAUAAGCGCACAGGACCGCAUGGUCUGGUGUGAAAAACUCCGGUGGUAUGGGAUGGAUCCGCGUCUGAUUAGCUGGUUGGUGAGGUAACGGCCCACCAAGGCGACGAUCAGUAGCCGACCUGAGAGGGUGGCCGGCCACAUUGGGACUGAGACACGGCCCAAACUCCUACGGAAGGCAGCAG